CUAUUUAGGUAGCGCCUCGUGAAUUCAUCUCCGGGGGUAGAGCACUGUUUCGGCUAGGGGGCCAUCCCGGCUUACCAACCCGAUGCAAACUGCGAAUACCGGAGAAUGUUAUCACGGGAGACACACGGCGGGUGCUAACGUCCGUCGUGAAGAGGGAAACAACCCAGACCGCCAGCUAAGGUCCCAAAGUCAUGGUUAAGUGGGAAACGAUGUGGGAAGGCCCAGACAGCCAGGAUGUUGGCUUAGAAGCAGCCAUCAUUUAAAGAAAGCGUAAUAGCUCACUGGUCGAGUCGGCCUGCGCGGAAGAUGUAACGGGGCUAAACCAUGCACCGAAGCUGCGGCAGCGACGCUUAUGCGUUGUUGGGUAGGGGAGCGUUCUGUAAGCCUGUGAAGGUGGCCUGUGAGGGUUGCUGGAGGUAUCAGAAGUGCGAAUGCUGACAUAAGUAACGAUAAAGCGGGUGAAAAGCCCGCUCGCCGGAAGACCAAGGGUUCCUGUCCAACGUUAAUCGGGGCAGGGUGAGUCGACCCCUAAGGCGAGGCCGAAAGGCGUAGUCGAUGGGAAACGGGUUAAUAUUCCCGUACUUGGUGUUACUGCGAAGGGGGGACGGAGAAGGCUAUGUUGGCCGGGCGACGGUUGUCCCGGUUUAAGCGUGUAGGUGUGUGUUCCAGGUAAAUCCGGUU
rnacentral:rRNA from 1 species